CUCAGAUUGAACGCUGGCGGCAUGCCUUACACAUGCAAGUCGAACGGCAGCACGGGAGCUUGCUCCUGGUGGCGAGUGGCGAACGGGUGAGUAAUACAUCGGAACGUACCCUGAAGUGGGGGAUAACGUAGCGAAAGUUACGCUAAUACCGCAUAUUCUGUGAGCAGGAAAGCAGGGGAUCGCAAGACCUUGCGCUCUGGGAGCGGCCGAUGUCGGAUUAGCUAGUUGGUGGGGUAAAGGCCUACCAAGGCGACGAUCCGUAGCGGGUCUGAGAGGAUGAUCCGCCACACUGGGACUGAGACACGGCCCAGACUCCUACGGGAGGCAGCAGUGGGGAAUUUUGGACAAUGGGCGAAAGCCUGAUCCAGCCAUGCCGCGUGAGUGAAGAAGGCCUUCGGGUUGUAAAGCUCUUUUCUGGGAGAUGAGCAAGGACAGUAUCUCAGGAAUAAGUCUCGGCUAACUACGUG
rnacentral:rRNA from 1 species